GUUUUCCCCAUAUUGUAUAAAUCUUUUGCCUUUUAAUAAGGAUUUCCAUGGAGAGAGACACACAAUUUUUUAGGGCCCUGUUUACACAGGGU
rnacentral:snRNA from 1 species